GCCUGGUAGCGGGGGAUAACUAUUGGAAACGAUAGCUAAUUCCCAUAAUAGCAGUUAUUGCAUGAUAACUGUUGAAAGGUGCAAUUGCAUCACUACCAGAUGGACCUGCGUUGUAUUAGUAGUUGGUGGGGUAACGGCUCACCAAGGCGACGAUACAUAGCCGACCUGAGAGGGUGAUCGGCCACACUGGGACUGAGACACGGCCCAGACUCCUACGAGAGGCAGCAGUAGGGAAUCUUCGGCAAUGGACGGAAGUCUGACCGAGCAACGCCGCGUGAGUGAAGAAGGUUUUCGGAUCGUAAAGCUCGUUGUAAGAGAAGAACGAGUGUGAGAGUGGAAAGU
rnacentral:rRNA from 1 species